rnacentral:rRNA from 1 species
AUUGAACGCUGGCGGCAGGCCUAACACAUGCAAGUCGAGCGAGCGGCGGACGGGUGAGUAAUGUCUGGGAAACUGCCUGAUGUAGGGGGAUAACUCCUGGAAACGGUAGCUAAUACCGCAUACCAUCAGCUGUGCCCAGAUGUGCUUAGCUCGUGGGUAGGGUAAUGGCUCACCUAGGCGACGAUCCCUAGCUGGUUUGAGAGGAUGACCAGACGCAGCGGACCUGUGACGCGGUCUCGACUCCUACGGGAGGCGGCAGUGGGGAAUAGUGCACAAUAGGCGCGAGUCUGAUGCAGCCAGACAGCGUGUGUGAAGAAGGCCUUCGGGUUGUAAAGCACUUACAGCGGAGAGGCGUUACCCGAAGAAGAAGCACCGGCUGACUCCGUGCCAGCAGCCGCGGUAAUAC